CAAUCCUCUCAUUCUCACUAGGUUGAAACUGAAAGUGGAAAGAACGUUUGGAUAAAACACAACUCUCGGCAUCUGAGUAUACACUGUUUGCAUCAUCUACAUGACCGGCUGUAUAGGCUCUCUAGUUGUUCCAGUGCAAUAUCGUCAGUCGGUGAGCAUCCUUCCAGAUCUUGUAGCUCCGGAUUGAAACAGGCAAUUCUCAUUCUGAAACCAGGGAAUCUCAAUCUAUAUGGAAUAGGAAUAUUUAUACAGCAUUUGUGGCGCUCAAAGAAGACUUUUGACUAUCUAAGAUCUGAACUCCAUUCUGAUUCUGUGUGGCUCCACCUCUGUGUAUGGGUUUCUGAAUCCACAGGAGUUCUCUCUUCCAAAAUCUCGGAUCAAUUCCAGGAUAUACUACUACACCUAUACGCGGAGGCAAGAGUAGAUAGGAGUACUACUCUUGGCGGAGGAUAUACGGAGUGCAUAUCCUCCGAGUAUAGAUUAGGUGAGGUAUAUCUGACCAUAGAUAGAGUAGAGAGGGAUUGGAAACGGAAGUGAUUCACGUGAUUGUUUUACAAUGAAGUCUACGUAGUGGCUCUGGGACCAUCCGUGUAUCUCUUCAUAACUCCCACAAAAGCCCGGGAAACUUAUUGUGUCCAAUGCAUACAUCUCAGAGCUACCCCCAUUACUGAAUCACAUGCCCCCUGAUGAUAGUAUAGGUAUCAAUUGGAAACGAAGAAAAUAUAAUCUCGAUUGUCGUGAAGUAGCUAGAGGUACACAGAGCGCUUUUCAUGCUUGUGUUCCUAUAGUACCUUUGAUAUAGCUAAGGCUGAACUAAAUAGUGUCCUGUGUCUCAAAUGGCCUUGAGUAUGAGAUGAAAGUUGAUGUUUAGCAGCAGAACUGCUCGUGGACUUCUUACAGAGAGCAAAACAAUUCUCAUGAAUUAUUCAUGUUUAGCCCUCGUGUUAAAAAAUAAGCCUCGAUUAAACCGCGGAGAUGCACAGAUGGUACUUCGAGGGUACUUCCGUUUCCAAUCCCUCUCUACUCUAUCUAUGAUCUGACUUAAAUACCACGUGACCGCAGCACGAUAAAAGAACCUCCCCCUAGCAACGAUUCAGUGCAUCACAAUGCAUAUAGCUAGAAUAAAAGCUAUGCCGGAUUUUUCAGCGUCAAAGAGCUAUAGUUAAGCAAAAAGUCGUCUCCUAUAUAUUAUACAGAAUAAUGAUACUGAUGCUCAGGAGCUUAAUUCCUAUAGGUCCAAGCGUUGUGCAUUCUACGUCCUCUUUUUAAAUGCAUGUAAACCAUGCCCAUGAGCCCAUGCCUGAUGGAGGCUUAGCCAUCUUGUUGGAGAGCAGCUUCUGUGUUUCUGCCGUCGCUUGGAUUCACCUUCAAGCAUGACUCCUUUCUGUUUGCUUACUUUCUUGAAACUGUGCACCUGCAUGUAUUAUGUAUCUAUGUAUCGUACAGCUGUUGACCAAAGAGAUCAAUUAUAUAGUGAUGGCCCCAAGUGUGUAAAAUGAAACAUGUCACCCUCUAUAUACCUAUCAUAAUGAUUGUUGGUUAGGGUUGAGGUUAGGGUUAGGGUUAAAAAUUCAUUCUUUUCCUAGCACUUGAUGGUCUUCUUUCCUUUGAAGUGUUCUUUUUACACUUAAUUAAUAUGCUGGUGAAUUUAACAGCUGCUGUCAUAACUUCUCACCUAUUGUUGUAGCUUCUGCCCCUGAGGCGGCCUGGAGUCUGAAUAUAGAACUGUGUGAAGUUUUCAUUCCCAAACAGCAUAGGAAUCAGAGUCUCUCUCACGAGUGUAGCAUCACACGUUUGGAAUGGUCCCACUGAUCGUGUCCUCGUUCGAUAGCAAGCAAACUGACUGAUGCCGUGUGUGCAUCUGUGUUUGUGGCUGUCUCUAUGGUAACCUGUGGCAAUGUUGUGGCUAGUCAUAUCCUUGGAAACACAUCAACCCAAGAAGUCACACAUUGUGGAAAUGUUGUGGGUAUAGUCAAUCUUUGGGAGCACAUCAACCCAUGCAAGAAUCACACAUGGCUUCACUGUGCACUACUACAGUCAUGUACAUGUAUUAACUGAGAAUCCUAGCUGCCUUAUUUAUUCUAAAAUCUAGUCUUGAUGAGAACAUUGUACAUACUGAGCAAUUACUGAGAGAGUUAACUAAACAGCUCUUGUUUUGUAUGAGUUAACCACAAACUCAUUAAUCACAUUUUUAACUUGAAUAGA